UAUUCCGUGCAGUGAAAUCGGUUGAUUCAAAGCUUGAAGCUACCGUUGUUGCUUGAAGAAUAACAACUUCGGAUUCUAACUAUCAAUAUUUUCAGACACCCCACCCCAGUUAUGACGGGUCUUCUUCCACACCCACAACUAUCCCUCAAAAUCGUCACAUGAUACGUCCGUUGGAUUUCUCGUUUGAUAACAAUUUGUGCAAACGAGAUAUUUUUCGAAUCAUCCAAAGUAAGUUUGAGGAGCCGUACUCAAGUUGGAAAAAGACAAACCCUACUGUUAGAGAAAUGUGGUUUUGCGAGUUUAAGAAUUCAAGGACAAGUCUAAAAAGGAAAAGACAAAUCGAGCUUCAGAUGUCAGGGGCAGUAUGCAUACCUGUGGUUCCAUUCCUAUGUCGGAGCAUAAGAAAAAACUGAUAAUAUUUGAUAUUUUCUAUUAUUUUUAUUUUACUUAAUUAUUUUUUAAGAAACAACAAUUUUGCAUGAACACCUUUUUUUUCCUUUGCAGUCGAAGCAAUUUGGUCGCCAGCCACACAGGCUGAGUUGUUUCUCGCGGCACACAAAAAGAGAGACAGUUCGGGAUUUGUUGAUAGGAGGCUGACUUCCAAACGCGACAGCACGAGACAUUAUCACAGACAUUAGCAUUUGGUCAAUCAAAAGAUAAUGACGUUGUCCAACCCUCAUAGCCAGCUAUUGACGAGAGAUCAAUAUGGUUGAGGGCGGCAAGAAAAAGGGUCGCGUCUAUGGGAUGGGGUCAGAAGCGUAUGUCAUUCCUGGUUCCUACUACCUACCAUCGCCACCGCCGUCGUUGUCGAGCUCAUUAGUAGAGCAAAUUCAAGAA